CCUACGGGAGGCAGCAGUAGGGAAUAUUGCGCAAUGGGGGAAACCCUGACGCAGCAACGCCGCGUGAGUGAGGAAGGUCUUCGGAUUGUAAAACUCUGUUCUUAGAGAAAAAUGACUUAGGGGCUAAUAUCCCCUAGGAGUGAUGGUAUCUAAGGAGAAAGGACCGGCUAACUUCGUGCCAGCAGCCGCGGUAAU
rnacentral:rRNA from 1 species